rnacentral:tRNA from 1 species
CAGAGCGUGACUAAGAUAGGUCAGCAUCCCCCGGGCACUGAGCAGUCACCCGUGCAAGUCCGGUCGCCUUGA